AACACCAUCGGGCACUGUGGUACCAACGGCUGUGACGACAACAUUCUGGUGGCCGAUGGGUUGUCGAUGAUGGUUGUUCUUUGGUGGUUGAACAGUGAGUGAAUUACACUCCUACUAGGACUCUACAUGAUGUGAUUUCCCAGACCCGAAUAGAACCUCAAAAAUAGAUCAAUGAGACUCGUACUCGGUAGUUGGAAAAUUGGCAAACUUGAUAUGAUCAUCUUGAUUAGGAUCAAAAUUGGGUAGAACCUAGACCAAAAGUACUUGCAGUAUAAGAAACCGAAGUUAUAUUGAAC
rnacentral:lncRNA from 1 species